rnacentral:rRNA from 1 species
UCGCGGCCUAUCAGCUUGUUGGUGAGGUAAUGGCUCACCAUGGCGACGACGGGUAGCCGGCCUGAGAGGGCGACCGGCCACACUGGGACUGAGACACGGCCCAGACUCCUACGGGAGGCAGCAGUGGGGAAUAUUGCACAAUGGGCGCAAGCCUGAUGCAGCAACGCCGCGUGAGGGAUGACGGCCUUCGGGUUGUAAACCUCUUUUGUCAGGGAAGAAGCCUUCGGGUGACGGUACCUGGAGAAAAAGCACCGGCUAACUACGUGCCAGCAGCCGCGGUAAUACGUAGGGUGCAAGCGUUGUCCGGAAUUAUUGGGCGUAAAGAGCUCGUAGGCGGCUUGUCGCGUCUGCUGUGAAAACCCGAGGCUCAACCUCGGGCCUGCAGUGGGUACGGGCAGGCUAGAGUGCGGUAGGGGAGAUUGGAAUUCCUGGUGUAGCGGUGGAAUGCGCAGAUAUCAGGAGGAACACCGAUGGCGAAGGCAGAUCUCUGGGCCGCUACUGACGCUGAGGAGCGAAAGCAUGGGGAGCGAACAGGAUUAGAUACCCUGGUAGUCCAUGCCGUAAACGUUGGGAACUAGAUGUAGGGCCUGUUCCACGGGUUCUGUGUCGUAGCUAACGCAUUAAGUUCCCCGCCUGGGGAGUACGGCCGCAAGGCUAAAACUCAAAGGAAUUGACGGGGGCCCGCACAAGCGGCGGAGCAUGCGGAUUAAUUCGAUGCAACGCGAAGAACCUUACCAAGGCUUGACAUAUACGAGAACACUGCAGAGAUGCAGGACUCUUUGGACACUCGUAUACAGGUGGUGCAUGGUUGUCGUCAGCUCGUGUCGUGAGAUGUUCGGUUAAGUCCGGCAACGAGCGCAACCCUCGUCCUAUGUUGCCAGCACGUUAUGGUGGGAACUCAUGGGAUACUGCCGUGGUCAACACGGAGGAAGGUGGGGAUGACGUCAAAUCAUCAUGCCCCUUAUGUCUUGGGCUUCACGCAUGCUACAAUGGCCGAUACAAAGGGCUGCGAUACCGCGAGGUGGAGCGAAUCCCAAAAAGUCGGUCUCAGUUCGGAUUGGGGUCUGCAACUCGACCCCAUGAAGUCGGAGUCGCUAGUAAUCGCAGAUCAGCAACGCUGCGGUGAAUACGUUCCCGGGCCUUGUACACACCGCCCGUCAAGUCAUGAAAGUCGGUAACACCCGAAGCCGGUGGCCUAACCCCUUGUGGGAGGGAGCUGUCGAAGGUGGGGCUGGA